CCAGCGUCUCCCGGUCCCUCGAAGGCGCGUCAGCGCUCCCCCGCGUCCGGCCGGGAAGCCUCCCGAGCCCCCGCGUCUUGUCCCCGCGCUCCGGUGCGGGAGCCGCGCCAGGCGGGUGCUGAGGGGCCGCGCCGGUGCUGCUGGCGCUCCUCCGUCUGCCUGCUGCGGCCAGAGAAAAAGAAUGUCAGGGUGCGUUUUGCUGGUGGAUAACGCGUAUUUUAGCCUUCGCAGAAAAUGUAGUCAUGCCACUGAUGUUGGUUUUCUGCGGAACAGACUCAGUCCGGUCGAGGUGCUUUUUUUCCCUGCAUGAUUAUUUCCCCACCUGUUGCUCCUGUGUUGUCUAGUCAUAUGGAUCCCAUCCCGUUAAUCAUCUUUUACCUCUCUCUGGAUCCCUAGGUAGAAGUUUAUCUCAAAAUUUCUACCUGUUCACAAGCAAUUAGAAGGAAGUGUUUCAGAGGAGAUGUGACAAGUCCCCAGUUGUCUUUCUAGUCCCCAGUUCUUCAUGUUUUCCCAGUAGCAUCCAGGUAUACUGCUUAUUUCUCUGCCAUAGUUUAGAGAGUAUGUUACUUCGUAGAUUUGUGUGGAAUAAUUUGUCUUCACCUGGAAGCAAUUCACUGGAAUGCUACAAGACCCAUGGUUUCCUUUCACUGCUGGUUUUAGUGUUUGGUACCUGGGGUUUACUUUUUACACUUCUUCAGACCUUCAUUUUCUCCACAGUUAGUUCACAUAUCAUCACAGUACUUUCCUGUUACUGUUGCUCAGUUUGUCUACUCUAUUUUUUUUUAAUAUGUCAGCUCACCCCAGUCUAUGCAUGUUAGCCCCAAACUCCUUUAAUGCUUAAACCUGGAGGUCUGUUUUAAUUACUGAGUACAAUGACCAAAGAAACAUGUAACUCACCACACAACCAGCUCCUCAGUAGCCAGCCCUGUGGAACACUUUUGUGUUGCAGCAAGUUUACAGAGAGCAAUUCUGAGUAUCUGCAGCAGUGCUAAGGUGAGAAGCAUCAGCUGUCUCCUGAGAGAGAGCUGGCAGCUGGUAGAAACACCCUGACCUGGCCUGGUCAUCAUCACUCACCGCUGACCAGCAGGCCUGAGGGGAUCCUCAAACCCUGCAUGAGGACCUGUUAGUGCUCCUAGAACCACCACAGCUCUCUUUCCAUCGGUCAGUAUCUGCCUCUGCGACUGAUGCACCGUCAGCGUCUGCCUUUCACACAGGUCUGGUUCUCUUCUGCUAGACACAGAGCUAGCCAUGGCAGCUGGCCCACAGCCACCAUGCUGCUGUCCGCCCGCCGCCCAACUUACAGCAAGGACUAAAACCCCGACAGGAGAUACAUGUGGAUCACUUUGACCUUGGCUUUAGAUUUCAUCCCAAAUUCUGACUGCUGCAGAUCAAGAUAUUUAAGAUUUACUCUCAUUGGAGAAUGUGGAGUGACAAACGGAUGCCUUGCACAAGUGCAAAGCUGGUUCAGGAAUGGGAUUUUCCUACUCCAAGCGGUCCUGCUGACUGUUCCUGUCAGGCUGUGGCUGUUACAGCCAGGGCAGGACAAAGGGACAACUUUGAGCUGGGCAUCUCUCUUACUUCCUGGGGUCUGGUGGACGUGGCAGCUGUCCUGCUUCCUCGUGCUCCUCUCAGUGCUUUUGGCCUGAUUUAUCCCUACUUGAACCUGUGAUCUCAUCUACUGCAUGUGUCUGCAAAGCAGGACUGACGACUUCCAAGGCUCUCUGAGGUGUAAUUGUGGAAGCACAAAAUGUUUGGGAAUGGAAGUGACCUCUGGACAUCAUCUAUACCUACCCCCCUGCUAAGUCAGAUUCACCUAGAACAGGUUGCACAGGAUCACAUCCAGGUGGGUUUGAAGUGUCUCCAGAGAAGGAGCUUCUGCAACCUCUGCCUUGUAAUCUUCUUGCCGGUCUAUGAUUGCAGGGCAGAUAAUGCCUACAAAGGUCAAUCGUUUGUUUAACAAGAGCUAAGAGAAAAGUGCAAUAAAGAAGGAAAGUAAUUUCUAAAUAUUAGCAUGUUUGCUAGAAUAUCACUCUAGAUGAGCUUGGUAAUGUGAAGCAGAAUGUGUUACGGCAAUUGAUGGGGAAGAUUUGUUUGAUUUGUUAGUGCAGUAAAAGUUGCCCUAUAGUUAGAAAUAAUCAAAUAAGACACUUUUAUUCCUUCUUGUUUGGCUAUUGUUAUUCAGAGUUCUCUCUCUCCCUUGUCCUUACAUGUUCCAUUACCAUAGUUAUUACAGGAUCUUUGGUUGCUAAUGGAGUAAUGAAGAAAGAGGCAUCUAAACUUCAAUAUUUAUCACAUAUUGACUUCUUUAUUGCAUUAAUAGCAGGGCAGAAUUACCAGAUGUAAGUGUAAUUAAAGCUUUAAGGCUGCCAUUUUAUUUUAAACUUAUAAAGGUUGUAGUGGAAUGUAAGGAAAUUUUCAAAAGUUCAAAAUAACUCACAUUAAAGGCCAACUGUUUAAUUGAGUGUUGUGAGAAAGAAGUAUUGUGAGUAAGGAGAGUGAGGCUACUUUAUUUAACUGUUUGCUCUUCUCCUGUUAAAGUGUCCUCCAGAAAUAAUUUUAAAAUGCAAUUCUGUAUGUAUGAUUGACUAAAACAGUGAUAAAGCCAACCUAGAUAAUUGCUUGUUAUCUGCUCAGGUGUUUUCUCUUUUGCUAGCAAAUGAUUCAUUUGAUGAAGAAACUUUAACCCUGAUGUGAAGCAGUAUGCCUGGCUAGUUGUGAUAUUAUGUUUAUACAGAUUCCUGAAAGCUAUGGCUGUCCCUAAUUAAUUCUGUGAUGGUAGCCUGACUUAUUUUACUUAAGUUUUGCACUUCAUUAAUAAAUGUACUGUACAGGAA